rnacentral:rRNA from 1 species
AGAGUUUGAUCCUGGCUCAGGACGAACGCUGGCGGCGUGCCUAACACAUGCAAGUCGAGCGAUGAAAUCCCUUCGGGGAUGGAUUAGCGGCGGACGGGUGAGUAACACGUGGGUAACCUGCCUCAAAGAGGGGGAUAGCCUCCCGAAAGGGAGAUUAAUACCGCAUAACAAUUAUUUUCCGCAUGGAAGAUAAUUUAAAGGAGUAAUCCGCUUUGAGAUGGACCCGCGGCGCAUUAGCUAGUUGGUGAGGUAAAGGCUCACCAAGGCGACGAUGCGUAGCCGACCUGAGAGGGUGAUCGGCCACAUUGGAACUGAGACACGGUCCAGACUCCUACGGGAGGCAGCAGUGGGGAAUAUUGCACAAUGGGCGAAAGCCUGAUGCAGCAACGCCGCGUGAGUGAUGAAGGCCUUCGGGUUGUAAAGCUCUGUCUUUGGGGACGAUAAUGACGGUACCCAAGGAGGAAGCCACGGCUAACUACGUGCCAGCAGCCGCGGUAAUACGUAGGUGGCAAGCGUUGUCCGGAUUUACUGGGCGUAAAGGAUGCGUAGGCGGAUAUUUAAGUGAGAUGUGAAAUUCCCGAGCUUAACUUGGGAGCUGCAUUUCAAACUGGAUAUCUAGAGUGUGGGAGAGGAGAAUGGAAUUCCUAGUGUAGCGGUGAAAUGCGUAGAGAUUAGGAAGAACACCAGUGGCGAAGGCGAUUCUCUGGACCAUAACUGACGCUGAGGCAUGAAAGCGUGGGUAGCAAACAGGAUUAGAUACCCUGGUAAUCCACGCCGUAAACGAUGAGUACUAGGUGUAGGGGGGUCCAACCCUCUGUGCCGCAGUUAACACAAUAAGUACUCCGCCUGGGAAGUACGAUCGCAAGAUUAAAACUCAAAGGAAUUGACGG